UUCAUUUGAUUUGACAGAGUAUUUGGAAUAGCAUCCAGAAGCAUCUAACUGGGAGAUUGGGAUCUCUAGUUUUAGAAAAAAUGCCUUGUUUCAAGAUUACCAUGGACUCAAAACUUUCAGACAAUUGUUUGUACAAUUCAGGAGCUGACUCUCAUAUGAAUAGCUCAGUGCAUUCCCAACCAACAUCAAGGAGCUCAAUGCUCAUAAGCAAUCCCACGGGGCAAGAAGCUGGCUGGGAGCAUCAUCAAGGAAAAACUAGCAGCAUGUGUCAACCGAGUGCUAGAAGGCAAGGUAGUAACUCCCAACUAUGUUCUUAUUUAUGAAGACAAUGAAGGAGAUCGAAUGCUUGUCAGCAAUGUGCCAUGGGAGUAUGUCUAUUACAUUUGAUUUUGCAUUUUUGUUAUGACGCCGUGUGUUUUUCUCUACAUCUCGAUCAUAUUUAAAAUAAAAAUGCAACUCAUUCAUACAUGUGUGACAGUGUGAGUCAGGAUGAUCAUCAAAUGACUGAAAUUCUAACUCUCCAUUCCUGUAGGAUGUUUGUCAACAUCGUGAAAAGGUUGUAUAUCAUCAGUGGCUCUAGGGCACCACUUCCUGAUUUCCCUUUUAUUAAAGCUUGCUGCAAGUGAAGUUAAAUUAACAAAUCUUGAGAAAAUUAUAUUUUAGUUGUCUGUUUGUUUUUAGUUGGAAAUCUAUGUGUGGACUGAUCAGAUUUUAAGCUUAAAAAAAGAAUAUAAUCUGCCCAUUUUAAAGGUUGGAAAAAUCUAUUAAGAUCCUGCAAUGCUUUGGACUGAAUAUUGAUUCUGGAUCAAGCUCCUAGAUUUAAUCUCCAUUACUUGUGUAUGCAUGUAAAUGUAAAAGGACACUUCUCCUAUUUGUUAAUAAAAAUUCUGAGCAUGUCAUAGUGAGACAUUUCUAUGCAUCAUAAAAGCUGAAACCUGAAUUUGGGGACUGCCAAAUGGA